rnacentral:lncRNA from 1 species
CCCGCCAUCACCUCCUGCCAGCUCUGCCCACAGCACUGCAGCCCUGGCAGGGGCUGCGCAGCAGCUCUACAGGCACUCUUGCUGUGAGAAAAUCUGAGAUUUCAUGGAAAAURUGUUCCAGAGCCUUUUGAACCAGAGUUCCUGUGAGAUGCCAAAUGAAUCACUUAAACCAACUUMUCCUGUGCCCCAUUUCUGGGAAUCUGACCUUGUACGUUUGGAAAAUUGUGAAAUCAGAAGGCACUUGGAAUUUAUGAAUGCUAGAUUAAAUGGGAGGAAAAAAAAAUCAAGUCAUGAAUUGCACCUAUAAUUCGGCUACAUCAAACACCCGUAACUGCAGGGAAUGGAUGGUUUGCAAAGCACUCAGGUAUGUUGCAUUGCAGAAAGGCCUGCAAGGGAAUGAACAAUGUGAUUUGGGGGAUUUGAAUAGUGUACGAUAAAUAAGGCCGGAGGUCAUACAAUGGGCAU